rnacentral:rRNA from 1 species
UUCUAUUAGAAAUUAUUAAUAGUAAAAUCUGCUCCAUGUAUAAUAAAUAGCCGCAAUUUGUGCUAAGGUAGCAUAAUCAUUUGUCUUUUAAAUGAAGACUGGAACAAAAGAUUUAACAUUUUCAGUUUAUUUUCCUAAUUCAUCCAAUCAAAUUUAUCCUAAAUGUAAAAAGACAUUUAUAUAAAAGAAAGACGAUAAGACCCUAUUGAACUUAACUGUAGUUAAACUGGGGCAGUAAAUUAAUUAUCAUUUUAAUAAAAUUUACUCCACAAAUAUCUAAUAUAAUUAAAUAAUUCAGUUACCAUAGGGAUAACAGCGUAAUAAUCUUCUAAAGAUCUUAUUUAAAAUAUAGAUUACGACCUCGAUGUUGAAUUAAUAACCUAAUUAAGGCAAAACUUAAAAAAGGAAGUCUGUUCGACUUUUAAAAAAUUACAUGAUUUGAGUUCAGACCGGUGUAAGCCAGGUCGGUUUCUAUCUUCUAAAAAAUUUUUUACAGUACGAAAGGACCUAAAAAUAUAAUA